rnacentral:snRNA from 1 species
AGUGUCCAGACCACACAGUGAUC